UACAGACGGUCCAAACGUUAUUCGGAAUCACUGGGCUUAAAGAGUUCGUAGGCGGUCAAGAAAGUGGGGUGUGAAAGCCCUCGGCUUAACCGAGGAAUUGCGCUCCAAACUCCCUGACUUGAGGAGGCUAGAGGUAAGCGGAACUGAUGGUGGAGCGGUGAAAUGCGUUGAUAUCAUCAGGAACACCGGAGGCGAAGGCGGCUUACUGGGGCCUUUCUGACGCUGAGGAACGAAAGCUAGGGGAGCGAACGGGAGUUAGAU
rnacentral:rRNA from 1 species